CCGACUUGAGAGGGUGAUCGGCCACACUGGGACUGAGACACGGCCCAGAGUCCUACGGGAGGCAGCAGUAGGGAAUCUUCUGCAAUGGACGAAAGUCUGACGGAGCAACGCCGCGUGAGUGAUGAAGGUUUUCGGAUCGUAAAGCUCUGUUGUUAGGGAAGAACAAGUGCAAGAGUAACUGCUUGCACCUUGACGGUACCUAACCAGAAAGCCACGGCUAACUACGUGCCAGCAGCCGCGGUAAUACGUAGGUGGCAAGCGUUGUCCGGAAUUAUUGGGCGUAAAGGGCUCGCAGGCGGUUUCUUAAGUCUGAUGUGAAAGCCCCCGGCUCAACCGGGGAGGGUCAUUGGAAACUGGGAAACUUGAGUGCAGAAGAGGAGAGUGGAAUUCCACGUGUAGCGGUGAAAUGCGUAGAGAUGUGGAGGAACACCAGUGGCGAAGGCGACUCUCUGGUCUGUAACUGACGCUGAGGAGCGAAAGCGUGGGGAGCGAACAGGAUUAGAUACCCUGGUAGUCCACGCCGUAAACGAUGAGUGCUAAGUGUUAGGGGGUUUCCGCCCCUUAGUGCUGCAGCUAACGCAUUAAGCACUCCGCCUGGGGAGUACGGUCGCAAGACUGAAACUCAAAGGAAUUGACGGGGGCCCGCACAAGCGGUGGAGCAUGUGGUUUAAUUCGAAGCAACGCGAAGAACCUUACCAGGUCUUGACAUCCUCUGACAACCCUAGAGAUAGGGCUUUCCCUUCGGGGACAGAGUGACAGGUGGUGCAUGGUUGUCGUCAGCUCGUGUCGUGAGAUGUUGGGUUAAGUCCCGCAACGAGCGCAACCCUUGAUCUUAGUUGCCAGCAUUCAGUUGGGCACUCUAAGGUGACUGCCGGUGACAAACCGGAGGAAGGUGGGGAUGACGUCAAAUCAUCAUGCCCCUUAUGACCUGGGCUACACACGUGCUACAAUGGACAGAACAAACGGCUGCGAGACCGCAAGGUUUAGCCAAUCCCACAAAUCUGUUCUCAGUUCGGAUCGCAGUCUGCA
rnacentral:rRNA from 1 species